CCUCAUGCCGUAUUAAAGAAUUAAUUUACGACUUGCAGAUUUAGAAUCUUCCACUUCGGAAGAUUGAGGGUAUCUGGGCUGAAAAGUAACACGUUCCAUUUAGACUACAAACAGAAUAAAUUCACUAACUUGUCCAUUGCACCGGGAAGAUAAAACCCGAAAUGCCGUGUUUAAAAAGCCACAAACUCGGCACUUUAAAAAAAAGCCCUCAAUAACACCGUUUUCGGAAGAAAUGUAAAAUUGGCUAACAUUUCUGUUAUUACACAACGCUCCAUAAUCGACACAAAUUA
rnacentral:lncRNA from 1 species